rnacentral:piRNA from 1 species
UACCUUUACCUCCAAUCUGAGGUUGAACGGU